rnacentral:RNase_P_RNA from 1 species
CCUGGUCUCCGGACGGCCGCCGGCAGCGCAAGCUGCGGGAGGAAAGUCCGGGCUCCCAUGGGCAAGGUGGUGGGUAACGCCCACCGUCCGCAAGGACAGGGAAAGUGCCACAGAGAACAACCGCCGGACGGCUGCAGAAGCAGCGACGGCGACGGUGAAACGGUGAGGUAAAAGCUCACCGCAGCUUGGGCAACCAAGCUGGCAAGGCAAACCCCACCUGGAGGAAGACCGAAUAGGAGGAUCGCGCGGCCCGCGCCUAGAUCCUCGGGUAGGUCGUUGGCGGGCGUCCGCGAGGACGCUCCUAGAGAAAUGGCAGUCACCGCCUUCGGGCGGGAUCAAAACCCGGCUUACGGAGACCAGGCACU